rnacentral:rRNA from 1 species
GAUGAACGCUGGCGGCGUGCCUAAUACAUGCAAGUCGAGCGAACGGACGAGAAGCUUGCUUCUCUGAUGUUAGCGGCGGACGGGUGAGUAACACGUGGAUAACCUACCUAUAAGACUGGGAUAACUUCGGGAAACCGGAGCUAAUACCGGAUAAUAUUUUGAACCGCAUGGUUCAAAAGUGAAAGACGGUCUUGCUGUCACUUAUAGAUGGAUCCGCGCUGCAUUAGCUAGUUGGUAAGGUAACGGCUUACCAAGGCAACGAUGCAUAGCCGACCUGAGAGGGGGAUCGGCCACCCUGGAACUGAGACACGGUCCAGACUCCUACGGGAGGCAGCAGUAGGGAAUCUUCCGCAAUGGGCGAAAGCCUGACGGAGCAACGCCGCGUGAGUGAUGAAGGUCUUCGGAUCGUAAAACUCUGUUAUUAGGGAAGAACAUAUGUGUAAGUAACUGUGCACAUCUUGACGGUACCUAAUCAGAAAGCCACGGCUAACUACGUG